AGCGAACGCUGGCGGCAGGCCUAACACAUGCAAGUCGAACGGAUCCUUCGGGAUUAGUGGCGGACGGGUGAGUAACACGUGGGAACGUGCCCUUUGGUUCGGAACAACUCAGGGAAACUUGAGCUAAUACCGGAUGUGCCCUUCGGGGGAAAGAUUUAUCGCCAUUGGAGCGGCCCGCGUCUGAUUAGCUAGUUGGUGAGGUAACGGCCCACCAAGGCGACGAUCAGUAGCUGGUCUGAGAGGAUGGUCAGCCACACUGGGACUGAGACACGGCCCAGACUCCUACGGGAGGCAGCAGUGGGGAAUCUUGCGCAAUGGGCGAAAGCCUGACGCAGCCAUGCCGCGUGAAUGAUGAAGGUCUUAGGAUUGUAAAAUUCUUUCAGCGGGGACGAUAAUGACGGUACCCGCAGAAGAAGCUCCGGCUAACUUCGUG
rnacentral:rRNA from 1 species